UACGUAGGGGGCCAGCGUUGUUCGGAAUUACUGGGUGUAAAGGGUUCGUAGGCGGUGCGGCAAGUUGGGAGUGAAAUCUCUGGGCUCAACCCAGAGACGGCUUCCAAAACUGCUGUGCUUGAGUGUGGGAGAGGCUCGUGGAAUUGCAGGUGUAGCGGUGAAAUGCGUAGAUAUCUGCAGGAACACCCGUGGCGAAAGCGGCGAGCUGGACCACUACUGACGCUGAAGAACGAAAGCUAGGGGAGCAAACAGG
rnacentral:rRNA from 1 species